CAGCAGUUCGAGCUCUUGGGAUUUUGGCAAAAGCAUGCAGGACUCAGUCCAUUUAAGGACACAUCAUUUUAAGGGAAGAUGUGAGAGAUAUGAAGAAGCAGCUGUGGAGAUGCUACGCUGGACAUGAAAUGGGUGUGGAAGACAAUGGAAAGCCAGUUGGUCAAGACCCUUGGGAAGAAAAGAAUCUUUAAAAGUGCCUGGAACAGAUCAGUGCUUGGAAAAGAGCGGCCAAGCAAUAAAUAUUUGUCACCGGAAAGUUUCUAUGGUACAUCACCCUGAC
rnacentral:lncRNA from 10 species